rnacentral:rRNA from 1 species
CCUACGGGUGGCAGCAGUGAGGAAUAUUGGUCAAUGGACGGGAGCCUGAACCAGCCAAGUAGCGUGAAGGAUGACAGCCCUAUGGGUUUUAAACUUCUUUUAUAAGGGAAUAAAGUGACCCACGUGUGGGGUUUUGUAUGUACUUUAUGAAUAAGCAUCGGCUAAUUCCGUGCCAGCAGCCGCGGUAAUACGGAGGAUCCGAGCGUUAUCCGGAUUUAUUGGGUUUAAAGGGAGCGUAGAUGGGUUGUUAAGUCAGUGGUUAAAGUUUGCGGCUCAACCGUAAAGUUGCAAUUGAUACUGGCAGUCUUGAGUACAGUUGAGGUACGCGGAAUUCGUGGUGUAGCGGUGAAAUGCUUAGAUAUCACGAAGAACCCCGAUUGCGAAGGCAGCUUACUAAACUGUGACUGACAUUGAUGCUCGAAAGUGUGGGUAUCAAACAGGAUUAGAUACCCGAGUAGUC